UACGGAGGGGGCUAGCGUUGUUCGGAAUUACUGGGCGUAAAGCGCACGUAGGCGGCUUUGCAAGUUAGAGGUGAAAGCCCGGGGCUCAACCCCGGAACUGCCUUUAAGACUGCAUCGCUUGAAUCCGGGAGAGGUGAGUGGAACUCCUAGUGUAGAGGUGGAAUUCGUAGAUAUUAGGAAGAACACCAGUGGCGAAGGCGGCUCACUGGUCCGGUACUGACGCUGAGGUGCGAAAGCGUGGGGAGCAAACAGG
rnacentral:rRNA from 1 species